CAUAUCACCCAAACCACAGAAGGAAACAAAACAAAGAGAUGGACAAAGAACUUAAAAACGGGAGAUAAGAAGAUAACCAGCUUGAGGUUCAAAAUCAAAGUCACGUGAAGGUGGUACAUGUACGGAAAGAAAGACAGAAAACCGAACAUGGGCUACUGAGCUGCCCCUCACAAUCCCCAUAAAAGCACCAAGUUCAUAGCAACCAAAUCAGUGAGGUAAAAAUAGAAAAGAAAAUGAGCCGUCCACAUAUUUUGGUAAUGCCAGCUCCAGCACAAGGCCAUGUAAUUCCUUUACUGGAGUUUUCACAAUGUCUGGCAAAACAUGGCUUCCGAGUCACAUUUGUUAACACGGAUUACGAUCACAAGCGGGUAGUGGAAUCAUUGGAGGGAAAGAAUGAUCUUGGGGAGCAAAUCCAUUUGGUUUCGAUACCAGAUGGAAUGGAACCCUGGGAAGAUAGAAACGAUUUGGGAAAGCUAACUGAAAAGUUUUUACAGGUUAUGCCGGGGAAGCUGGCGGAGCUCAUAGAAGAGAUCAACAGUAGAGAAGAUGAAAAACUUGAUUGUUUCAUUGCAGAUGGGUACAUGGCUUGGUCUAUGGAAGUAGCAAAAAAGAUGAACGUCAGGGGGGCUCUCUUUUGGCCUUCAUCAGCAGCAUCAGUGGCCCUGCUAUUUCAUAUCCCCAAACUUAUUGAUGAUGGAAUCAUUGACAGUCAUGGUAUGAUUCCAUGUCAUCUAAUUCCUUACUUUCCUCCAGCAAACUUUAAUUUUGAUGCAUGUCAUAGUAGAAGUUUACUUUAUGCUACUGUUAUUUUCUUUGUUUUGUAUUCAACUUCAGGAACUCCUAUGAGCAAGCAGAUGUUUCGGAUUGCACCAAAUAUGCCUGAAAUGAACUCUGGGGACUGUUUUUGGACAGAUAUGGGUGAUUUGACCACGGAGAGAAUUCUUUUUGAUUUAGCGGAUAAAGACUUAAAAGCCAUGAGAGCGGUAAAUUUCCAGUUGUGUCACUCAACGUAUGAGCUCGAGGCUGGGGCAUUCACCGUGGUUCCGGACCUUCUGCCAAUAGGACCACUUUUGGCAAGCAACCGUCUAGGGAAUACAGCAGGACACUUCUGGCGCGAAGACUCAAGCUGUUUGGAGUGGCUAGACCAACAGCAACCAAGCUCUGUCAUUUACGCUGCUUUUGGCAGCUUUACAAUUCUUGACCAAGUUCAGUUUCAAGAAUUAGCAUUGGGACUAGAACUUUGCAACAGACCAUUUUUAUGGGUUGUGAGGCCAGAUAUUACCACCGAUGCAAAUGAUAGAUACCCAGAAGGAUUUCAAGAGAGAGUUGCUGCUCGAGGACGGAUGAUCGGCUGGGCAACUCAGCAGAAGGUUCUUAACCACCCUUCUAUUGCCUGUUUCCUGAGCCAUUGUGGUUGGAAUUCCACCAUGGAAGGUGUCAGCAAUGGCAUUCCUUUCUUGUGCUGGCCAUAUUUUGCUGAACAAUUCCUGAACGAGAGAUACAUUUGUGAUAUUUGGAAGGUGGGAUUGAGGUUUGACAAAAACGAAAGUGGCAUCAAUGGAAGAGAAGAAAUUAAGAACAAGGUGGAGCGAGUGCUCGGUGAUCCAGAUUUUAAAGCAAGGGCUUUGGAACUCAAGGAAAAAGCCAUGAGUAGCGUCAGAGAAGGUGGUUCCUCUCGCAAGACAUUUCAGAAUUUCCUUCAAUGGGUAAAGACAAACACCCUAGCUCAUAAUUCCCCGGUAAUGGGCGGUUAAUUCAAAAAAUACUACCUUCGUGGACAAUUAUAUAAGGAUUCCUUGGCCAUUGUAACAUCUACUUUUUCAGUUUUUUUAUUAAGUUUAUAGAGUUCAGGAAUAUUUUAUUUAACCGAGUUUUAAUUUAAUUUGUUUUCCUAUUUUAUUUAUUAUUAGCUUAUGAGAAGAUACUGGUCAGAUUAGCGGUUAAAAAACUGAGAUAGGAUGCUGGUGUGGGAGGAGACUAAGCCUAAAAGUAGCCGAUAUAAUAUUUAGAUCAAGCUCGAAAUCAUGUUAUUGUUUCUUUUUAUUUUAAGAGGAUGACAUACCUUUUUAUUGUUUCAUACGCCUUGCUGCAGAUGAAGGAAUCUGCACCAGGAAUUCGAUCAGUGCUGUGCAAAAGAAGGGAUGAGGAAAAUUGCAAUCAUAUGAAACAUUUUGAUCAGCAGGAGUUGUAGCAGAGUGCGAUGCUAAAAUAUGCAUUGCUGUAAAAGAGAGAAGAAAAAUAAGUUAAAACGAAUGAUAACGAAAUGCCUUCUUACAUAUGAACAAACCGGGGCAAAUUGAAUUCUUGAAAGUGUCAGCACCAGCUGGCCAUGCAAAUAUUUAUUGAUCACCGUUCUAUUAUAUAGCCAAUUCAGCUCCUUUUUUUAACUUCACAAAGCAACGUGCAAAUUGGUCCUAAUAUUUGAAUAUGGCAGCGGCAGCAGCAGAAAGAAAACAUGAGGCUCUAAGAGAUGAUCAAGGAAUGUCGGUAUCGGUAGAAGAUCACGAAGUGAAUGAAGACAUACCUGAGGCACACGAUGCUGCAAUGAAAAUUGAGAGGGCCAAGGGAACUUACAUGGCCUACUCAGGGCUGCGAGAAAAGCCAUCGAGGCUUGAAAUUUGAACACUUCAAUGUCACAACGGUUGUGCCGGCUGUUUUUCCUCACAUCAUCAGUGAACUUGUCUCUAAAAAUGAUGAUGGUGAUGAUCAAGGUUGGGGACAAACCCCAAGUUGGGCAUUGCUUGUAUUCUCAGAGAGAUCAAACUGUAGUUCUUUUUCUAGCUACAUCUAUUGCUACUUAGUAGAACAUUCAAUCAAAAUUCUAUAUAUACAAAGAACAUGAGUGUAACUUACACAAAAAGUUGGAUUAAAGAUCGAAUUGAUUCCAAGAUUCUUAGCACAAAAAGAGUAAAAAACGUAGAAGAUGCAAUUAUGCAUAUUUAAUUUUAUUAAGGGAGAAUGAAUUUCUCAUUCUUAGUUUUACCUUUUGGCUCAAAAUAUUGACAAGAAAAAAAUAUUGUUUUAAGGAUAAAUGUGAAUUUUUCAUAUACAAAGAGAUUUACUAAUUAUGCUAUAAAAAAUUUAUCUGAACCCAAGGAACAAAAACAACUUCUUAGUGGGAAUAAAGUUUCAUUCAUUCUCCUUUAAUUAAAUCAUUAGUCGAACUCUUACUUUUUAUUAAUUAUUUCUUAAACUUGAGUGACCACGGGUAUAAAGUGCAUUCAUGGCCAGUCAAACUAGACAUAUGGUCAGUUUUGAAUGUGUCCAUAUUUAGUAUUUUGAAAUAUUUUUCAUAUAUUGCAGGUAUGAUUGACUAACACACACAUCAAUAUCAACGAACAAUCUGAAUCUCUCAGCAAUGGAAUGGACUUCAAUUUCAUGGACUUCAAUUUCAUUUCAAUUUCAAUUUCAAUUUCAUAUUUUCUGGCUAGUCCCUUCCUUGGCUUGAUCUCCAAGCAACUUGACCAUGGCUACAACCCACAACUCAUUGCUAGGGCUGCAACUGCCAUCUGUCCCCUCUUUUGUCUCCCUGUUGGCUUCAUUAAAACCCCAUACAUCUUCCUAUUUUAUAUUGCAGCUAUUGUUGCAUUAUACAUUGUUGCUUCAGCCUCCCACACUCGCCAUCUUGGCCUUAUGGUUCGCCGCUACACUGGACGACCAACACUUAAACUCUGAAAAUUCCCUACUAGAAGAGGCGUCUCUGGCUGGUUCUCGGUAUACGCCACUGCUGCUGGUGGCUUAGGCUCUGCCAUUUUCUCUGCUUUCACUUACCAUAUGCUUAGGAACAAAAAUGACCCAUUUGAUAGCCUCUGGGUUGUGUCCAUUUUCAGUGGCCUCAAAUGGCUCGUUGGUAUGCUCCAUGUUGUCACACUAAGGCCAGUGGCAAUCACCAACACGACUUCCUCUGUGCCCAAAUCAUAUUUCCUGUCCCUUUUCAAAUAUCCUUAUGCGAUUGCAAGCCUAAUUGUGAUCUUCAUGUCAUCAUUUUCAUCCACGUGCAUUUUCACUGGGGGGUUAUUGUUUUUACUGGGUCAAUUGUGCCUUAAGCCAAUAUUCUUCCUCUACUUCUGGUUAAUUUACUUCAUCUUCCCAUCAUUUUCAAUGCCAUUACUGCAACCAUUACAGCAUGUUAUCAAAGCAGAUGCUGUGAGAAUGCAACUUCUAGGUUUCCUCUUAGCUCUGUUGACUUCAGGUAUGGGAUUCUACUACAAGGAAAAGAACUGGCAGAGGCACCAUGUACUGCUUUUUGCUGCCAUUCAAAGCACUUCUGCAGGGCUUUUGCAUGCUUUCGGGAGAGUUUUGUUGUUAGAUUGUACACCACAUGGCAAAGAAGGUGCUUUUUCUGUAUGGCACUCGUGGGUAAAAGCACUAGGAACUUGUACUGGCUUUGCUGUGGCAUCAGCGAUCAGGGGAAAUGUGAGCACUGCUUUUGGGGUUUCAUUUUUGGCUGCUACGAUCGAGAUUCUUAUUUUGAUUUUUGGGAACAUCAGUGAUGUUGGUGGAGCCAUGGCUGCUGGGCAUCUUUAUGAAGAUAGUGAGAAGGGAUCCCCAGUGCCUGGUUUAGAUACCAGCAUUAUUAUAAAGGAACAUGCUCAGCCUCACGAAGAAACUGCUUAAGUAAUGCAAGUGAACUUUCGCAAAUAGUCAAUUCUGUUAUCUUUUAUAAGUAAAUAACUAAGGCAUAUAUGAUUUUCAUUUUUUCAUCCUUUUUUAAUUUGGUUCUUUUUUUCUCUUUUGGUUGAAUAAGUAUAUCCCACAUUCUGUUAACUGUAAACAACUUCUUGUGUGCCUUUUACACUUUUAUUGGUCAUUGCUUUGAAUUAAUGUAAUAUUGAUUUAACUGAAAUGAUAAUUCUUUUUUUUUUUGUGACCUUAUCAUUUCCUAAACUCGUUUAAUUAACUGGCAUAUUAACUUAUGUGACAUUGGUAUAUAAAAUUCUAUCAAUAAAAUUGUAUGCACUAUAGCAAUACGCGUAAUGACACCAAUUUUUUUAUGCACAGGCAUUGCCUUCCAAGUGAGAGGCAAGGCCAGCUGGGCUGCAGGCUUAGGGUGCGUUUGAGAUUGAGGUGCUGUAGCUUUUAAGCUACAGCUGCUGUGAAAAAAAAGCUGUAAUUAUGAAACAAAAGUUAAUAAUAUAUAGUAAAUAUAAAUUUUAAAUAAUAAUUUUGAUAAAAUUAUUAAAGAUAUAAUAAAUUUUUUAUUAUACAAGUGAAAAAUCAUAUCAACAUAGCUUAAAAGUUACAGCAGCUAGUGUUUACCAAACACUUUAGUGCUGUAGCUUUUAAGCUACAGCUGCCCAACCUCAAUCCCAAACGCACCCUUAAUCACUGUUUUGUAAUCUGUAAAACGUUGAGAUCAAUAAUUCCCACGCGGAGGACAAAAGCAGCAAAAGAAAACUGCAUCUGUUGACUUUUGAAAAUAUUUCGAAGCCUUUGCCUCACUUGAAAUGCUUUGUGAACACAGGAAGUUGUAUAAAAAAUAUCUUUUCAUUGAAAAAAAUAAAAUAAACUAAUAAUAAUAUAACUUUUCUAAUAUUUUAAUGUGGAUAUCAAAAAAAUUAUAGGAAAAUAUCCACCGUCCACUUAUUUUUUCCAACUUUUUCAAAAAUACAUUUUUUUUUGCUGGAUUCCACCUAAAGUUAUAUUUUGUUUCACUUUUCCACUUCCGUUUGGAAUCCGUUAAGAAAACUAACGGAAACUUAAAAAAAUGAUAAUUUUACGUCCAAAAUGAAAAUUACAAUUUCACCCUAAAAAAUGCAAAAAAUAAUCAGAUUUAAUAAUAAAUAUCAUUAUUGGUAUGUUAGUGAAGUACAAAAAAAUCUUAACUACUAGAGAUUAUAACUCAAUGAAUAAUAAAACUCUACUUAUCUUAAAUUCAAUUGGUGGUUUACGAGAUUAGGCUAUUUUUAAUACUGCUGUUAUAAUUUAGCAUUCUAAUUACAGACAUAUUUUUUUUAAAAAAAACUACAUUUGAUGGUUGUAGAGUUAAUUUCUUUAUUGACCGAUGGAGAAAAUAAUCAGAGUUUGAAUAGUACGCUCUGACUGUCCAUCAGUCUGUGGAUGAAAAGCUGUACUGAAGUUCAACUUGGUGCCUAAGGCAUUUUGCUAGCUAGUCUAGAACUUAGAAGUAAACCGGGAAUCUCUAUUUGAGACUAUGGACACAGGUACUCCGUGAAGUCGAACUAUUUCAGCCACAUAAAUACUCCCCAACUUGUCCAUCGAGUAAGUGGUCUUGAAAGGUAAGAAAUGAGCAGAUUUUGUAAGUCGGUCAACAACCACCCAAACACCAUCAUGUCCUUUCUGAGUACGUGGAAGUCCCGCUACAAAAUCCAUGGUGAUGUGCUUCCACUUCCACUCAGGAAUAUGAUGCGGCUGAGAACACCCUGCAGGCCUCUGGUGUUCAGCUUUAAUCUGCUGACAGACUAAACAUCGAGAAACAAAUUUUGCUAUCUCUCUCUUCAUGCCCUGCCACCAGUAAUGAUCCCUUAGGGUACGAUCCAUCUUCGUACUACCAAGAUGCAUCGCAUAUGCUGAACAAUGAGCUUCUUCCAUAAUCUCUUCUUUCAGAUAUUUAAUACCAGGUACACAGAGUCUAUUACCCAUGACUAAGACACCCUCAUCUCUCACCAUAAAAUCGGUUCAUAAACUUUUCUGCACAUCAUCUUUCAACUUUAUUAAUUGUGGGUCUUGAUCUUGCAUCUGGUGAACUUUGUCAAUCAAAGUCGGCCUAACUCAAAAAUUAGCUAUCAAAGCUCCACGAUUGUCAGCGUUCAACUCGACUCCCAAAGAUCUCAACUCGAUCAACAGAGGCACAUAUUUCACUCGCAAGUGAGCUAUAGAGCUGUAAGACUUUCUACUUAGUGCAUCAGCUACCACAUUUGCUUUGCCCGGAUGAUAAUCGAUAGUGCAAUCGUAGUCCUUAAUCAGCUCGAUCCAUCUCCUCUGUCUCAAAUUCAACUCAUUCUGAGUAAACAAAUACUUCAAGCUCUUAUGAUCAGUGAAAAUUUGGCACGUUGCCCUAUAUAAGUAAUGUCGCCAUAUCUUGAGUGCAAACACCACUGCUGCGAGCUCUAAGUCAUGUGUUGGGUAGUUUCGUUCAUGCUCUUAAGUUGUGUAGAAGCAUAAGCCACCACUUUCCCAUGCUACAUCAAUACACAACCCAAUCCCUGCCUAGAGGCAUCGUUGUAAACCACAAAUCCUUCAUUACCAGAUGGAAGUGUAAGAACUGGUGCUGAGGUCAAACGUGUCUUAAGUUCUUGAAAACUCUUCUCAUAGUUAUCAUCCCACUGGAAUUUAGCAUUCUUUCUGGUUAACUGUGUCAGAGGAGUAGCAAUCUUGGAGAAUCCUUCCACAAAUCUACGAUAGUAACCGGCUAAUCCAAGAAAACUCCGAACCUCUAUGACAUUUGUAGGCCGUUCUCAUUUCACAACUGCUUCAAUCUUUUGAGGAUCAACAUAAAUGCCUUCAGCUGAUAUCACAUGGCCCAAAAAUACUACUCUAUCCAACCAGAACUUGCAUUUGCUAAACUUGGCAUACAAUUGCUUCUGUCUCAAAGUCUGUAAAAUAGUCCGCAAAUGCUCUGCAUGCACCUCCUCGCUUCGGGAAUACACUAAGAUAUCAUCAAUGAAUACAAUCACAAACAGAUCCAAGUACGGGCGAAAUACCAUGUUCAUCAGGUCCAUAAAAGCAGCUGGGGCAUUUGUCAACCUAAAUGGCAUCACUAAGAACUCAUAGUGCCCAUAACGGGUUCUAAAAGCUGUUUUAGGAACGUUGACAUCUUUAAUUCUAAGCUGAUGGUAACCCGAGCGCAAAUCGAUCUUAGAAAAUAUUUUUGCCCCUUGGAGUUGAUCAAACAAGUCAUCAAUACGCGGAAGUUGAUACUUAUUGCGUACCGUAACUUUAUUCAACUGUCUGUAGUCGAUGCAGAGUCUAAAAGUCCCAUCUUUUUUCUUAACAAACAAGACUGGAGCUUCCCACGAGGACACACUAGGUCUAAUAAACUCUUUCUCCACCAACUCUUGCAAUUGAACCUUCGGUUCCUUCAAUUCUGCUGGAGCCAUUCUGUACGGUGCCAUAGAUAUUGGAGAUGUUCCAGGGACUAAGUCAAUAGAAAACUCAACUUCUCUGUUAGGUGGCAUCCCAGGAAGUUCAUUUGGAAAUACAUCUGGAAAUUCUUUAAGUACUGUAAUAUCCUCCACUCUCAAUUCUCGAGCUUCUGUAUCUAUCACAUGAGCUAAAUAAGCUGAGCAUCCUUUUCUUAACAACCGUCUUGCACUAAUAGUAGAUAUAACACAUGAUGGUAGAACUUUGCGCUCCCUACAGAAUUUCACCUCAGCUUUCUUUGGCUUUUUAAACACAACGUCCUUUUUGAAACAAUCCACCGUAGUAUAAUGAGAUUCAAGCCAAUCCAUGCCUAAAAUAGCAUCAAAGUCAUAAAUAUCUAAGGAAAUCAAAUUUGCCUCAAAUUCAUGUUCACCCAUUUCAAUCAUACAAUCUCGAUACACACUCUCAGCAAGUAAUGACUCUCCGGUAGGUGUAUGAACAACUAAAUCACAAUCUAGCAGUUCGGGCUCUCGCCCUAUGUGCAUAACAAAAGUACGAGAAACAAAAGUGUGUGUGGAUCCAGGAUCAAUAAGAAUAUGAGCCUCGCGGCCAAGGAUAGAUAAUAUACCCAUAAUAACUUCUAGUGCAGCACGUGCUUCCUGCUGCGUCAAAGUAAAAACGCGAGCCUGAGUAUGAGGUCGACCAGGCUGACCUCUCAGACCUGGAGCAGUCGUCUGACUCCUAAAGGUAGAUGUAGAACCUCAUGUCUGCACUCCUUUCUGACCCUGAGUCUGGCCAGAGUAAGGCCGAUACCGUGAGGCUGUCCCUCCUGUAGAGCUAUCACCCUGAGAUAAAGUAGGGCAGAAUCUCCUGAUGUGUCCAGGUUGACCACACAAAUAACAAACUCUGUCUCCAACAUGACAUUGGCCCUGAUGAUUCCUACCACAUGAAGGGCAAGAAGUCUGCUGGAAACUCCUAGAACGAUCAUCACGAUAUCCCCCACCACUGCGGUCGUACUGUCCCUGAUUCCUGGUAUUACUCCCCACUAACGGUUGCACAGAGCUGUGACUGAUAGCCUGUCUCGAGUCUCCCCAAAAGCCUGUACGCUAACUCCUUUGCGUACUAUCAGAAUAACUCGUAGGAAUACCCCCUCUCUUGGGCGGCCUACUACUAGAGUCACCCUCUGCCCAGCUCUGGCUACGCUUCUGCUUCAGUGCAUGAAAUCUAUGUCCUUCUGAAAUACUGUGCUCUACUCUCCUGGCUGCCUCAACUACCUCACCAAACUCAGUAUAUCGUGAUGCAGUCACGGUGGUGCGAAUCUCAAAUCGGAGGCCAUCCUCGAACCGUCUGUAUCUCUCUCUCUCAUCACCGACUACAGAUGUAGCAAAUCUAGAGAGGUCUAAAAAUUUCCUCUCAUACUCCUCAACUGUCAGAGAUCCCUGAACCAACCGAAAGAAUUCACUCCGUUUAAUAUCCUGAUAUACAACAGGAAAAUAAUGAUCGUAGAAUUCCUUGCGGAAAAUAGCCCAAGUAAUCGCAGCAUGCCUCUGAUAUCGUCUCUCCACAGUCGGCCACCAAUGGUAAGCUCUAUCCUCGAGCAAGAAAGUGGCGAAGGAUAAUCUAUCAUCCUCUGAACAGUUCAUCACAUCAAAAAUACAUUCUAACUUAACAAACCAUGACUCAGCCUCAGGUGGUUCUCCAGAACCAUUAAAGCUCUUCGCCCCUAAACUCCUCACUCGCUCAAUAGUGUUUGCGGUACCGACAUGCGCUUGAGUAUGAUUUUGCACAACUGUAGUCAUGAUCUGAGCCAGCUUAUCAAAUGACUGCUCAAUAUUUGGGGCAUUCCCCGGUGCCUGUUGUGCAAUUUCAUGCGUAGAGGAUUCAACUAUCCCCUCAUUCGCGCGUUCACUUUCCCUCGCAGGUACACUACCAGAAGUCAACCCAGCUAUUGGUCUAGUACAGCCACGGCCACGUCUACUGCUAUGACGAAGCAUGAUGGUGCCUACAAGAUAUAAAUUCUCACUUUAAUAACAAUACAGCUUAUUCUUAUUAAGACAGUAAAGUCUACAGAAUCUAAAACCAUGCUCUGAUACCAACUGAAACGACCCGCCCCGAAUCCCCCUAGGCGAGUCUAUCUAGUCUCAUCAAAACAGACUUGAUAAUAAUUCUAUUCGUAAAGAUUCUGCCGAAAAUUCGGCAAAGUCUCCUUUAUAUAUAUAACACUCCCAAUCUACAAAUAUGAAUAUAACACUCCAAAUGCAAUUCAAUAUACAACAAACUCCAGUGCUCAACAUCCUCAACCAAAAUGCUGAGUUUCAUAUCUCCAGAGUCUCAAAAGAUAAUAUUAUAACUAAUAUUAAUAUAUCAAUUUAUUCUUAAUCCCAAAAGAAUAAUAUAUCAAAAUUAUACAAUCCCAAAAGAACAAGAUGACCAAGAUGUCCUAACACAAAAACAUCUAUAUCUUCUAACAUCAUCACGUGGCCAAAACUCAAAAUAUAUUUACAGUCGCUGGGUUGGUCUGGUGUACCUGCAACCUCCUGGUGAGGGGGGAAAAAUAUAAUAGAAAUGGGGUGAGUUUUAAACUCACUGAGAUCAGUGAGUGGAUAAUAGUUUUGAAAAUUAAUUCUUACUUUAAAAGAAAUAAUCAUAUCAUUUCCAAACACGAUUUCAUUAAACCGUAAGCGAAAAACCAGUAACAAAUCAUUAAACAUUGAAAUCAAAUUACUAACCAUGGACAUCAUAUCACAAUAUCAUAUAGAAUUCACAAAUCUGAAAAUCAUCACCAAACAAGUACUCAGGGAAAUAAUCUCGUCAUAUCCGGACCUCAACGGACAGGCAAUGACGUACUAUCUGGGUACCGCCACGCCCCGGAGCUACACGGAUAGACAGAGAAAUACCAUCUCAUAUCUCAUCAUAUCUGUGCAUGCAUAAUCUAGUCCCCAAAGGACAAAAGCGCCCAAGCACACGGCCCAAAGCCUCUGUGUGUACUCAGAUGGGCCCCAAAGGCCUGUAUCUCAUCUGUAUCAUCUGUAUCAUUUGUAUCUCAAUAUCUCUCUGUAUCUCAUAUCUGUAUCUCUGUAAUCAUCAUACCGCAUGCAUAUGCCUCCAAAAGGCAAAAACGCCCAAACACACGGCCCAAAGCCUCUAUGUGUGUUUAGACGGGCCCCAAAGGCCUCUCAUCUCAUUUGUAUCACAUGUAUCUGGAGGGAAGGGUAUUGUCUAAUGAUUUCAAAAACAAUCAUUAUACUCAUAUUCACAUACCUCUUAACCAUAUGUUUAAAUCAUACCACAUUUGAAUCCACUUUUCUUAUCUUUAAAAUACUAUCAUGCUCAUUCAAAGUCAAUACGCAAAAUCAUUAAUCAAACAUUUUAAUAAAAUACCAAUGCGUGAAUAAAAUCUAGUUCGAGGAAAUCAUUAAAUCAGAACAUUUAAAAUACUUAUUUUGCAAACAUGUUUUACUAUCAUAAUUAACUAUGAAAAUAGGUUUUGUAUAUUCCACUCACAGUGACAGUGUUCACGGUCGGUUAUCGUCCACGUCCGCGGACUGGUUCUCGCUCGCGGAUCCUCCUAAAAUAAGGAAACGACAUAAUUAUUUUCCGUAAAUCGGAAUUAUGACUAAAUUUUAUGCAAUAAACUCGAACCGAAUAUCUAUCCAUAAUUGACAACUCCCGUAUCUAUAAAAUUACUAAAAUGCCCUUGAGUCAGUAGAUCAUUAACAUGCUCCGAAAUCGUAAAUCACUGAAUUACCCUCGAAAUCGUAAUUACACCCAAUCCUCAAUUCUAGGAAUUACUAACAUAUCCACAGGCUCAGAAAUUACAAAAUUGCCCUCAUAGUGUGAAAUUACCAAAAUGCCCUUGCCGGUCAACGGUCACCGGAAUUUGGUCAACGCUGGCUAGGAAGCUCAAAUCUGAAAGUUCCAAUCAUGUUGAGUUCAAUGGUACCGGCGGUGAGCUCCAACACGUGGCAACGACGCCGAAAUCUAGCUCGGCAGCCGUGAAUUCCAACAAUCGACCUGCGGCAACACAGUGACUCUCGGUGCCUAUGGAUGGUCGGAAAUGGAAGAGGGAGUCAUGAGGAGCAAAAUCCAAUCGGUGGUGUCACUCAAAACCGGCGAAAAUCCCGGCGAAGCAAAGUGAAAUAGUCGCGGGUUUCAAGCUUCGAUCGCCGGCGUUUCGGUUGGUUUUCGGCGGCGAGGAUGGCAGGGGAACAACGGUCGGCUUCUAAGCUUCAGAUUGGUACCAAGCUCGGCCGAAACGGUGGCCGGAAAUGGGAGUUAUGGCCGGGUCAAGGACGCGGGUUCCGGGUCGGGUUUCCGGGUCGGGUUGACGGCUUCUCUCUCUCACUCUCUCACUCUCUCACACACGUGUGGCUUCUGUUUUUUUGCUCUGUUUUUUCUAGCUUCUUCCUUUUGUUUAUUAAUAAAAUCCUUAACCGCCUCAUUUUAUUUUAAAUUCACAUAUGUUACAACAUUAUUUCAAUUAUUAAUAAUUGACAAAAUUUUUGUUAUUUAUUAACAAUUAAUAAAAUUUAUUCAUAACAAAAUCAUAAAUACAUCAAUUGUUUUAUUUUAUUACUAACAUUUAAUUUUUGAUUUUAUUACUAAAAUUUAAAAAUACAUAAUUUCAGCAAUCAAAUAAUAACCAAUUACAUAAUAAAUAACCAAUUAACUUUAAGCAUAUAUAAUUAACUACAUAGUAUAUACCAUGAAUUGAAAGUUGAAACUUAGAAAAGUCACAAAGUCACAAAGUUACAAAAGAGCAGCAAAUCACGGCAAACACUCGGGUCGGGUUGGAGGCCGCGAGAUUGGAGCAGCAGAUCAUGGCAGCAGAUGGAGCAGCAGAUCACGGCAGUCGGCAGCAGAUGGAGUAGCAGAUCACGACAGUCGGUAGCAGAUCAUGGCAGUAGAUGGAGCAGCAGAUCACGGCAGUCAGCAGCAGAUCGCGGUUGGCGUAUUCCUUUCAAUUUGAGCUUAUUAGUACUUUGCACUUGGAAGACUAUUAAUUUUGGAUUUGAUAUCAAUGUCAUUUGUGCUUCGAAAUUGAAUGCAUAGAUAUUUAAAUUUGCUGCAAUUUUAUGAUUCUUCAUUUCCAUUUUUUACUUUUUCAACAUGUGCAAGUCGAUAUUUAACUACUUGUGUAUCUGUCUUUGAUAUCAUGUUUGCCAAUAAGGAGCAGUAACUAUAUUGAACAUUUUUCAGUUUCAAAAUGUGUGUUAUUUUUAUGUUUCAUUUACUUUAAAUUACUUUUAUUUGUGGAUUUAUGUUGUUAUUGUAUGCCAUUCAUAUUCAUUUGUUAAUUGUUGAACCAUGAGUGGAUUUUAUUUGAUAUUAUUAGGUAAAUUUUUAAAUUUUUAAGUUAUAUUUUAAAUUAUUAAAUUUUAAUUUUUGUGGGUCCGGAUAUCUAGAAUAGAUGUCUACAAUUCGUGCGGGAUAUGAAAAAUGGAUCUACAUCUAGAUGCGCCUACAUUUGAAUUUAGAUCCAUAUUUUACCAUCCCUAAGCUGGAUAGCAGGCUUAAUCAUUGUUUUGUAAUAUGUAAAACAUUGAGAUCAAUAAUUCCCACAUGGAGGACAAAAGUAGUAAAAGAAUCCCAAUCGUAGCUAUUCAAGGCCUUGUCAUUGCCAUAGCCAACAGAAGUGAACCUUGUCGAAAAAGUUUGGAUGAGACCAUUGAUUUGAUUUUUUGGGAGUGUUUGGUUUGACGAUCGUUUGGGAAAUAAAGAAACAGGUGUUCAGAUUCAAGUGAAAGAAAUAUCAAUGGAGGAAGAAAAAUGAAGAGUGGAGGUAGGGUCGGGCCGGUCGGCUACUGAGUAAUGAUGCCUUUGCUUUCAUUUUCUUUUGUGGCUUAUAAUCUUUUCAUAAUUGCAAAACUAACCUUAUACCUUGAAAAUGUUUUAACAAGAUUUUUGAAUUUUAAUGGCAAAAAACUAAUUAUGUUAAAAAGGUCAUUUAUUAUUCUAUUCAUUUAUGACCUUAUUAAUAAACAAAUUUUAAAUGAAUAAUCGAAUAAGUGAACUCAACCCUAGAUUCGAUUCAUUUAUUUAAUGAAUUAAAAUGAAUUUACUCAUUUAUUAAACAAAUCAAUAUUUUGAAAUCUAUUCCUAUUUAAUUUGACUCGAAUAGAAUCGAAAUAAGAAUCCUAAGCCAAAACACCACCCGUAAUUAGGGUUGGCAAAAACGCUCGAGCUGGGCCUAACAUCAUAAAAUCAUGGAUAUGAGCCCAAAAAUUUAAAGCCCAUGCUCUUUAAUUUAUAAAUUAAAAAAUUAAAUUAAAAAUUAAAAAUCAUUUUUAAUUGAAAGAGUUAAAUCCCUCGUUCCAUUCCGGAUUAACAACCUUUUUAAUAAAUAUGAGUCUUAAGCUUCUUGUGUAAAUUACAAUGCACAAACAUAAUUAAUAUCUAAAAAAUAAAUAAUUUUAAUUUACAAUAAUAAAUAAUAAGAAGAAGAGAAAAAGGAAUAAAGAAAAAGAAAUGUAAAUAUUUGCUUAGAGGUGACCGGCCCAGGCCCAUUGAAGGGAGUAAUUAAUAUUUUUUUGUUUAAUAAUAAUAAUCAUCUUAAUUUAACUAUUUUUUUAAUUUAUAACUUAAUUAAAAAUUUAUUUAACAAAAUUAUUGAAGGUCCAAACCCGGCCUAGGCCCAAGCCCAUUUAAGUUGGAUGGACUUUCAUAGGGUCUGGACCUAAUAUCAAUUAUAUGGGCUUGGACUUGAGAAAAUCCAGACCAAACUCGCAAAUUGCCAACCCUACCCGUAGUCAACACCACUCGUGUGUUGCAAAUUAUAAUAUUAUAUAUUAAGCAGAUGCUAGCAGAAGGAUGUGAAAAAUUGUUUUAGUUACGUUAUUCUAGACACAACAUUAAAAAUUGGGGUCUAUAAAAGUUGGAGCAGAGCAUAUCACCCCAAAAGCAAACAUAUCACCCAAACCACAGAAGGAAACAAAAUAAAGAGAUGGACAGAGGGGUUUUAAUUAAAUAUGCCUUAAAAGUAGGGUAUUUAGUUAAAUAUACCCCAUGCUUGAAAAUUAUCUAAAUAUGCAUUUUUAUGUGGUACAUUGUCUAAAAUAUCCCUAAAGAAAAAUAUAAAACACACACAACUCACAACACUCUUUACUUCUCACUCUUUUUGUUUACUCCACACAACAAAAACUCACACCACACUCAAAAUCACUCACAAACAGCUAAUUAAAACUUUUUUUUUAUUAUUCAUCCCAUGAAUAAGGUAUUUGAAACUUUUUUUUUUUUUUGGGCUAUCUAUUCAAUUUGUUGACAUUAUAUUAUUUUUAGGGUUUUGUUUGGUUUGUGAUAAACACUAAAGCAACUCAUAUUUUCAUUACAUUUGCAUCAUAUGACUGUUAUUUGAUAGAUUUUAUAACUACAUUCGUUAAAACCUGAAGUUGUUGUCAAUUUUUUUUUCUGCACCCGACAUACACGACAUCAGUCGUGUAUGUAUGUAUUUAAACGACUAUAGUCGUGAAAAUGUGCAAAAAAUUUCAAUUAUUAUGACACCUUAUCAUUCCAUAGGUUCGAAAAAUAUUUUUUUUUCACUAUAUAUAUCAUUUUACUAUUACUGGACUAUAGUCGUGUGUGUUAAUAAGUUACACGACUACUAGCGUGUACGUAUAAACUUAUAUACUAUAAUUAUGUAUAUAUGUAAAAUGUUCCAAUUGUUAUGAGAUCCCAACAUUAUUUUAAGAAGAAAUAUGUCCUCUGAUUAUUUACUGAGUCAUGUAUUUUUGUAACUUAUACGACUUCUGUCAUGUAUGUAUGAAUUUACACGACAACAAUCGUGCAAGUUUGAAAGAUAUAGUAGUUGUUAUGACACCUAGCAUUUUGUUAGUACAAAUAUUACAGUUAUAUUUUAUUAAAUAUAUCAUCUGACUGUUUAUAGAACUAUAGUUGUGUAUUUUAGCAAGUUACACAACUAUUGUCGUGUAAACUAUCAAUUACACGACGUCAGUCGUGUAAAUAGGCAGACAUAUCCACACUUCGUUAUAAAUCUUGUUUAAUUUUAUUUUUGUAUUUCUUGUAUAAUCAACUGUUGUAUUAUUACAGUAAUGAGGUUUUGCCCCCUAUGGAAAAGCGGAAAAAAGGUCGGCCACAACAAAUUAGGAUAACAUCACAAGGCGAAGAGAAAUUGCACCGUAAGUAUGGUAGGUGUGGUUCUCGAGGACAUAAUCGACUAACUUGCAGUGCACCAAUCUCACUGUCUAACAAUGAGCCGUAGCUAGACCGUAUGAAACAUAAACAAGCACAUGUACUACUAUGAACCUUAUAUACUUGUUAUUUUUUGUUGUUUUAAUUUUUUUAAUAUCUUUCAUAUUUAGUGAUAAAUUUCUACCUUUUUGUUUCGCAAAUGAAUAAACGUAUUUGUGUGGCUUUCUAAGAAUAAGUAUUGAACGAAGGUGACCAGAGGCUUAUAAAAUAUGGACCGAGUGUUUGGGUUAAAGAUGCCAAAAAUUUAUGAUGAAUGUUAAACAACUUCUAUUGUAUUACGACUUAUUUACGAUUUCAAUAAGUAUUGGAUUUAUGUUAUUUGAUAGGCAACCAGACUACAGUUAGUUUCAUUUAUUUGAAGUUUGAUAUGUUAAAGUCUAUAUUGAUUGUGUCAUCAAUAUAAUGAAUGAUUGAAAAUAGUUUUUAUUCUGUGCACAUACCUGAGUACAAUCGUGUAACAUGACUGUUACAGAACUGGUCAUGUUUAUUUCUAAAUACUCGACUACAGUUGUGUAUCUGUGCAAAUACCCGACUGCAGUCGUGUAUUUUGUCACAGAGAGCUUGUCAUGUUUAUUUCUAAAUACCCGACUGCAGUCAUGUAUCUGUGUAAAUACCUGACUGCAGUCGUGUAUUUUGUCACAGAGAACUUGUAAUGUUUAUUUCUAAAUACCCGACUGCAGUUGUGUAUCUAUGCAAAUACCUGACUGCAAUCGUGUAUCUAUGCAAAUACCCGACUGUAGUCAUGUAUCUGUGCAAAUACCCGACUGCAGUCUUGUAUUUUAUCACAGAGAGUUUGUCAUGUUUAUUUCUAAAUACUUGACUGCAGUCGUGUAUAUGUGCAAAUACCCGACUGCAGUCGUGUAUUUUGUUACAGAGAGCUUAUCAUGUUUAUUUGUCAAUACCCGACUGCAGUCGUGUAUCUGUACAAAUACCCAACUGCAGUUGUGUAUUUUCUUACAGCGUAUUCCCUGUGCAUAUAUGGCAAUCAUGUUAUAUCACAUAGAUUGUACAAACUAUCUUGUCUAUCAUUAAUAUAAUUAACAAAAAAAUAAAAUAUAUUAAUGCUGUCAAGUUAUCUUUAAUGACAUCAAAUAUCAACAACAUCCUCAUUAUAACUAUUACAUCUCAUAGUCCAAAAAAUGACACUACAAAGUUUUUUUCCAUGACCUAUGCCCAAAUAUUUUUACAGCCAAGGCUUUUCGAAAUUGUGUAACAUGAUCUUGUUGGCAAUAUGAAUUGAUAUCAAGUCCAUGGGCUAGGACCUCCAAGUACCGCAACAAAAAUGCUCCACAAUCACCACUAAAAAAAUUGAAUAAGAAUGAACCAAAUAUAUUGCUCUUACACCUGAUAAACAAACCAAGAGUUGUAUGGUACCUCUAGUGAGCCUCAAGGAACAACUAAUUGGAAGUUCUAUAAAAUCCAGGAUUACAGGUAACCUCCUCAACCUGCUUGCUUUGAGACUGCAGUGGCAUUUGCAGACAACGUCAUAAAAAAUUCUACAGCUAAUAAAAGUUUUGACUCUUCUCAUACCAUCAAAGAGAAAAAGAAUAGAAAUGGAUAACUAUAAAUAUUAGAAAGCAGAGAACCAUAACUAGAAGCAUGCGACUUAAGCUCUACAAAGAGAAUAAAUAGUCACAUAAGUUUGCAAAAUCACAUUCUUUCUUCAUUUGCGUAAUGAGUCCAUUGGUGAAUUUGGACGUUAAAACUGUAUCAGUGAAAAUCAGAUAAGAACAAGCAGAAUACGCAACUUGAUAACAAACGCAUCUAACAAUAACAAAAGGCCACUUCUUUACUUAAAUAUCGAACCAUAUUAACAAAUAAGAAUCAUAACGUGAUUGGUCUCCAGAAGUACAUUAGUAUCUCCACCCCCCUUCUUUUAAAAAGUAAUUCUACCAUGUCUCAGUUAGAAAUUGAAAAUCCACUAUGUUAGUUAGCACAAACUGUUUCCUCCAUUUUCCAAUCCUUUCAGUUAGAACUUCAGAUAUCAAAGCAAUCAAUAGAUAUUCAUUCAUAAAAUACGGUUAAAUUUUAAAAGUAGUAAAGAAUUGAGAAUGCAUCCACUGAAGAAAGUUCACAAAUCUUUCUUUUUUUUGGGGGGGGGGGGAGUUGUUUCCAGUUUUUCCAUAGUUCUCAUCACCUUGUGACAAAUUUGUAAACCACAACUUACUCCUCUUUUUCUCUUUCCUAAUCUAACAUUAUUAAUCAAAUAAAAUGCAAUGAAUUUGUUCAAUGACUUUAUCACAGCUUCAUGAACUAAUUUCAAGACAACUCCUAGUCUAGAAGUUCACGGAAAAUGUAAAAUAUCUCUUCUGCAAUGUUAAAAAUUUGUUUAUAGUUGAGCUAUUGAAAAGCUACUCCUGAAUUCCGGAGUAUGCCAGAACAAUCAUUUUCAAGAUGAAGAUACAACUCCUCAUGGACGGAAAGCAAAAUCCUAGUCCCACCUAACAUUUCCACAGAUAUUAAAUUAAUAAAUUACCUUCAAAGCACAAGGGUUACAGUCAAUUUCUCGUUUUACUUGUUUUGCCACGUUUCGGCGAGAGUGUAGAAGAAUUGUUGUAAAAUGGCAGGGAUUUGUAAAAUGGAGGAGGGCGCGCUGAAGGAGAGUGGGGGAAUUGCAGCUAAUGGUUUGCACAGAAGCGGCGUCGUUUUACUUGUUUUGCUGCGUUUUGGUGAGAGUGUAGAAGAAUUGUUGUAAAAUUGUAGGGAUUUGUAAAAUGGAGGAGGAGAAUUCCAGAAGAAUGAGCUGAAGGAGAUGCUGCUCAUGAGAGAGAAUUGGGGGUUUUGUUACACGAUUGGUUAUGGUAGUUUGGUUGAUUUAGGUUUUUCAUUAGGAUAAUUUCGUAACUGCAUAUUAGAAAAGGCAUAUACGAGAAAUUUUUUAGUAUGGGGGUGUUUUUAGAUAAAUACUAUAUUUUUGGGGUAUACCACGGACAAAUCCCUGUUAAAAAUUGGGGUCCAUAAAAGUUGGAAAAAUUGGGGUCCAUAAAAGUUGGAGCAGAGCAUAUCACCCCAAAAGCAAACAUAUCACCCAAACCACCGAAGGAAACAAAACAAAGAGAUGGACAAAGAACUUGAAAACGGGAGAUAAGAAGAUAACCAGCUUGAGGUUCAAAAUUAAACACAUAUUACAGACUACAUGUACGAAAAGAAAGACAGAAAACCGAACAUGGGCUACUGAGCUGCCCCUCACAAUCCCUAAAAAAGCACCAAGUUGAUAGAAACCAAAUCAGUGAGGUAAAAAUAAAAAAGAAAAUGAGCCGCCCACACGUUUUGGUGAUGCCUGCUCUAGCAUAGGGCCAUCUAAUUCCUUUACUGGAGUUUUCGCAAUGUCUGGCAAAACAUGGAUUCCGAGUCAAAUUCGUCAAUACGGAUCAUGAUCACAAGCGGGUAGUGGAAUCAUUAGAGGGAAAGAAUUAUCUUGCGGAGCAAAUCCGUUUGAUUUCGAUCCCAGAUGGGAUGGAGCCCUGGGAAGAUAGAAACGAUUGAAAAAGUUUUACAGGUUAUGCUGGGGAAGCUGGAGGAGCUCAUAGAAGAGAUCAACAGUAGAGAAGAUGAAAAAAUUGUUUGUUUCCUUGCAGAUGGGAACAUGGGUUGGUCUAUGGAGGUAGGAAAAAAGAUGAACGUCUGGGGGGUUGUCUUUUGGCCUUCAUCAGCAGCAUCUGUGGCCGUGGUAUUUCGUCUCCCCAAACUUAUUGAUGAUGGAAUCAUUCACAGUCAUGGUAUGAUCCCAUGUCAUUUAACUCCUUACUUUUUUUUUGUUUUACGUAAGGGGGGUGGGCAAACCCAAAUACAGUUUUUUUACCCCUUACCACCCUAAAGAACCGAACUCGCGUUUUGGUAGAGGUUACAGAUGUACUGAAACCAACCCGACCAUGCCCUUGGGGCAUUUAACUCCUUACUUUGCUCCAGCAAACUUUAAUUUUGAAGCAUGUCAAAUUAGAAGUUUAUUUUAUGCUAUUGUAAUUUUCUUUGUUUUGUAUUCAACUUCAGGAAAUCCUACGAGCAUGCAGAUGUUUCGGAUAGCACCAAAUAUGCCUGAAAUGAACUCUAGAGACUGUUUUUGGGCACAAAUUGGUGACUUGACCUCGCAAAAGAUUUUUUUUAUUUACUGGAUAGAAACAUGAGAGCAAUGAUAGCGGUAAAUUUCCAGUUUUGUAACUCUAACAUAUGAGCUCGAGUCUGAAGCAUUCACCAUGUUUCCGGAACUUCUGCCAAUAGGACCACUUUUGGCAACUUCUGGCGCGAAGACUCAAACUGUUUGAAAUGGCUAGACCAACAGCAACCAAGCUCUGUCAUUUAUGCUGCUUUUGGCAGCCUUACAAGGAUGCAGAUUUUGCAUAUUAUAUCCGGGUCAAAUAAAUCAAUUCUGCAAGGACGCACGAGUUUCAAUGCCACUCCGUUUCCCGCGGGGAGGCAAACCAAACUGGAUUAGCGUCUCUUGCAUUUUAGAAGAGGAAACAGAAUUGCUGCGAUCCUUGUAUAGGAUUGCCUAUUUUUUGGAUCACUCAAAAACAUUUGUUUAUUUAGUAUUAGCUUAUGAGAAGAUACUAGUGAGAUUUGCGGCUAAAAAAACUGAGAUAGGAUACUUGUGUGGGAGGAGACUAAGCCUAAAUGUAGCCGAUAAAAUGUUUAGAUCAAGCUCGAAAUCAUGUUAUUAUUCCUUUUAAUUUUAAGAGGAUGAGAUACAUCUUGUUCCCUCAUCUCGUGCUAUAUAUAUUGAGAUUUGAGCACAAGGUAAUCAACUUCUAGUCUUCUAAUUCACAGCAACAAAAGCAAUGGCUGCCUCUUACCAUACUCACACAAACAGCCUUCCACAAGAUCACACCCACAGACUUCCGAAGUUGAAGAGCAUUUGAGAAGAUUAAGGACUUCUCUAGCUGCUUCUACUUCAUCAUUAGCCAUGAAUUAAAUUGCUUGGAGGAUUCAUGAGAUUCUAUUCAAAAAAAUACUUCAAUUGCCCCCCGUGCAACAAACUUUAGCCCAUGGCCACGAGAAGAAAUGGGUUGAUGACUGUUGAAUGGAUCUUCCAGGAUCUUGACUGUUUGCAGCACUGCUCAGAACGCCUUGCUGCAGAUAAAGGAAUCUGCACUCGGAAUUCGAUCAGUGCUAUGCAAAAGAGGGGAUGAGGAAAAUUGAAAUCAAAUGAAACAUGUUGAUCGGCAUGAGUUGUAGCAGUGUGCGAUGCAAAAAUUGGCUUUGCUGUGAAAGAGAGAAGACAAAUAAGUUAAAAAGAAUGAUACCGAAAUACCUUCUUACAUAUGAACAAACCAAGGCUUACACAUAUAUGUCAGGCAAAUUGAAUUCUUGAAAGUGUCGGCACCAGCUGGCCAUGCAAAUAUUAAUUAAUCACCGUUCAAAUUUGAAUAUGGCAGCAGCCAAUUCAGCUCCUUUUUUUAACUUCACGAAGAAGCCUUCAAAUUGGUACUAAUAUUUGAAUAUGGCAGCAGCGGUAGCAGCAGAAAGAAAACACGAGGUUCUAAGUGAUGAUGAAGGAAUAUCGGUAUCAGUAGAGGAUCAGAAAGUGAAUGAAGACAUGCCUGAGGCACACGAUGCUGCAAUGAAAAUUGAGAGGGCCGAGGGAGCUUAUGUGGCCUACUCAGGGCUGCGAGAAAAGCCAUCGAAGCUUGAAAUUUGGACAUUUCAUUGUUACAACAGUUGUGCCCGUUGUUUUUCCUCUCAUCAUCAGUGAAAUUGUUUCUAAAAUGAUGAUGAUGAUCAAGGUUGGGGACAAACCCCAAGGGGCAUUGCUUGUAUUCUCAGAGAGAUCAAACUGUAAGUUCUUUUUCUAGCUACAUCUAUUUUUACUUAGUAGAACAUUCAAUCAAAAUUCUAUGUAUACAAAGCACAUGAGUGUAAUUUACACAAAAAAUUGGAUUAAAGAUCGAAUUGAUUCCAAGAUUCUUAGCACAAAAACAGUAAAAAACGUAAAAGAUGCAAUUGUGCAUAUUAAUUUUCUUAUGGGAGAAUGAAUUUCUCAUUCUUAAUUUUACCAUUUGGCUCAAAAUAUUGACAAAAAAAUAAUAUUGUUUGAGGUUAAAUGUGAAAUUUUAAUAUACAAAAUGGUUAUACUAAGAGAUUUACUGAUUAUGUUAUUAAAAAUUUAUCCGAACCCAAAGAACAAAAACAACUUCUUAGUGGGAAUAAAGUUUCAUUUAUUCUCCUUUAAUUAAUUCAUUAGCCAAACUCUUACUCUUUAUUUAUUAUUACUUAAACUUGAGUGACCGCGGGUAUAAAGCGCAUUCAUGACCAGUUCAACUAGACAAAUGGUCAGUUUUGAAUGUGUCCAUAUUUAGCAUGAUGAAAUAUUUUUCAUAUAUUGGAGGUAUGAUUGACUAACACACACAUCAAUAUCAACGAAUAAUCUGAAUCUCUCAGCAAUGGAAUGGACUUCAAUUUCAUGGGCUAUAGGCCUAAUUCUGGCUAGUCCCUCCCUUGGCUUGAUCUCCAAGCAACUUGACCAUGGCUACAACCCACAGCUCAUUGCUAGGGCUGCAAGUGCCAUCGGUUCCCUCUUUUGUCUUCCUGUUGGCUUCAUUAAAACCCCAUACAUCUUCCCAUUUUAUAUUGCAGCUAUUGUUGCAUUAUACAUUGUUGCUUCAGCCUCCCACACUCGCCAUCUUGGUCUUAUGGCUCGCGGCUACACUGGACCAACACUUAAACUUAGCCAAUCCCCAACUAGAAGAGGGCUCUCAGGCUGGUUCUCGGUUUACGCCACUGCUGCUGGUGGCUUAGGCUCUGCCAUUUUCUCAGCAUUCACUUACCAUAUGCUUAGGAACAAAAAGGGCCCAUUUGUUAGCCUCUGGAUUGUGUCCAUUUUCAGGGUCCUCAAAUGGCUCGUUGGCAUGCUCCAUAUUGUCACACUGAGCCAGGGGCAAUCACCAACGCAACCUCCUCUAUGCCCGAAUCAUAUUCACUGUCCCUUUUUAAAAAUCCUCAUGCAAUUACAAGCCUGAUUGUAAUUUUCAUGUCAUCAUUUUCAUCAAUGUGCAUUUUCACUGAGGGGUUAUUUUUUUUCCUAGGCCCGUUGUGCCUCGAGGCAAUUUUCUUCCUCUACUUCUGGAUAAUUUACUUCAUCUUCCCAUCAUUUUCAAUGACACUAUUGCAACCGUUACAACAUGUUAUCAAAGCAGAUGCUGUGAGAAUGCAACUUCUGGUUUUCCUCUUAGCUCUGUUGACUUCAGGUAUGGGAUUCUACUACAAGGAAAAGAACUGGCAGAGGCACCAUGUACUGCUUUUUGCUGCAAUUCAAAGCACUUCUGCAGGGCUUUUGCAUGCUUUUGGGAGAGUUUUGUUGCUAGAUUGUGCACCACAUGGCAAAGAAGGUGCUUUUUCUGUGUGGCACUCGUGGGUAAAAGCACUAGGAACUUGUACUGGCUUUGCUGUGGCAUCAGCGAUCAGUGGAAAUGUGAGCACUGCUUUUGGGGUUUCAUUUUUGGCUGCCACGAUCGGGAUUCUUAUUGUGAUUUUUGGGGACAUCAGUGAUGUUGGUGGAGACAUGGCUGCUGGGCAUUUGCAUGAAGCGAGUGAGAAGGGAUCCCCAGUGCCUGGUUUAGAUAGUAGUGCAAGUGAACUUUCGCGGAGAGUCAAAUCUGUUAUCCUUUAUAAGUAAAUAACUGAGGCACGUAUGAUUUUCAUUUUUUUUACCCUUUUUUUUCUUUUUUUCUCUUUUGGUUGAAUAAGUAUAUCCCACUUUCUGUUAACUGUAAAUAACUUCUUGUGUGCCUUUUACACUUCCAUUGGUCAUUGCUUUGAAUUAAUGUAAUAUUGAUUUAAUUGAAAUGAUAAUUCUUUUUUUUUUUUUUUGGGUUCCUAUCAUUGCCUAAACUCGUUUCAUUAACUGGUAUGUUAAAAUUUGUGACAUUGGUAAAAAUUCUAUCUAUAAAAUUUUCUGCACUGUAGCCAUACGAACGUAAUCUGUAAUCUGUUUUGUAAUCCAAGCUGGGCGGUAGGCUUUAUCACUGUUUUGUAAUCUGUAAAACGUUGAGAUCAAUAAUUCCCCCGUGGGGGACAAAAGCAGCUAAAAAAAAAAAGCAUCUCUUUGACUUUCGAAAAUAUCUAGAGGACUUCACUUGAAGUGCUUUGUGAACGCAAGAAGUUAUAUAAAAUUAUCUUUUCAUUGAAAAAAAAAAAUUAUAAUAAAUAUAACUUUUUUAAUAUUUUAAUUUGCAUAGUCAGUCAAAAAAAUUAUUUAAACAUAACUCAUUCAGAGCUCAUAAAGCAUAUUAAUAUUAGAGGUGGAAAAAUGAAUUGAUGAAUUGAAUCCGUAUCAAAUCAAAUCAAAAUUCAAUAGAUUCAAAUUCAAUUCGUUUAUUAAAUGAAUGGUAAUCUUUAGACUCAAAUUUAAAUGAAUGGUAAUCUUUAGACUCAAAUUUAACUCAUUUAAUAAAUAAAUAAAUAAUUGUUUAUAAUUUGUUUAAUUCAUUUAAUAUACAAAAAUAAAUUAAACAACAAAUGAAAACAACAAAUAAAGAAGUGAAUGGAUUCACCUAAAUUUGUUUACAAUCUGAUAAAAAAAAUCAAUUCAUUACAACUAGAUUCAAGCUAAACACUAAUACAAUCAAUAACCAAGAAACUGAAGAAACUCGAAAGGCGUAACGAAGGAUGAAGUUCACGGUUGAAUUUGUGGUCGGCAUACCUAUUUGAGACCUUGUCACCGCCAUAGCCAAGAGAAGCGAAGCUUGCUGGAAAAUCACAGAUUUGAUUUCUUGGAGUGUUUGGUUUGGCGUUCGUUUGGGGAAUGUUCAAACAAAAUUUUUGAAUUUUAAUGGCAAAAAAGUAAUUAUGUUAAAAAGGUUAUUUAUUAUUCUAUUCAUAAUGGCCUGAUUAAUCAAUAAAUUUUAAACAAAUAAUCAAAUUGGUGAACACAAACCGGAAUUCGAUUCGUCAAUUUAGUGAAUCAAAAUGAAUUCACUCAUUUAUUAGACGAAUCAAUAUUUUCAAUCCUAUACUCGUUUAAUUUGACUCGAAUAGAAUCAAAAUAAGAAUCUUAACCCAAAAUAUCACCGGUAAUCAACACCGCUCGUGUGUUGCAAAUUAUAAUAUUAUCUAUUGAGCAUAUGCUAGCAGAAGGAUGUGAAAAAUUGCUUUAGUUACCUUAUUCUAGACAGAGCAUUUAAAAUUAGGAUCUAGUAAAGUUGGAGCAGAGCAUCCUUUUUUUUAAAUUUAUUACAUGAUACUAUUGCUCAACAGUACAACUCAUAUUACAUGAGAUUAUACCUGAUAUUUACAAAUUUGACUAUUACUAAGAUUGAUUUACAUUAAUUCUUAUGAAGUCUGCCCAGAUUUUUACCAUUUCUAAUAUUCGAGAGACGUCUACUCCACUCACAUUGUCUACUCCACUCACAUUUCGAAUUCUUAUGAAGCCCUCCCAAAUUUUUAUCCGCUCUAAUAUUCGAGGGAUGUCUGCUCCACCCAUAUUUCGAAAAGAAGAAGAUUGUCUUCACUCAAAUUGAGAAAGAAAAUUAAACCCCCACAAUACCUCACAAUAGGAAGGAAAUAGGAUCGAAGGAUGGAUGUGUUUCGUUGGAAUGCCAAUUAUUAAAAACUCAAAAUAAACAAUGCUUGGAUUGGGUCGGCUUUGUCCAAUUUUAAAAUUAAUUACCAGCUCUGAAAUAAAUAGAUUUGCUUUGGAACGCGGUUGGUCAAGUUUAAUAAAGGUACGUGGCGUUGUAUCUAGAUCGAUGUAGAGACAAGUCUGCCUUUGGAACCAGAUCUGACUUAGAACAGAUCAAUAUUCCGCACGUUCUAGUUUCCAGCCUAUAUACCAAUUAUAUUUACCAAAUAUUUGUUAAGUUCUUUAAGCAAGCCUAGCAACAACAUUCAUCUAAGGCUAGGGUGCAUACACAGUACCAGAUCCGGUUCCCGGAAAUGGUGCUCUGAAGGAAUGGAGGGAGAAGAGAAGAUUUACAACUGAGGAUCGAGAUCUGGUCUCUUUGCCUCAGAGGAACGUACAAUUUUUAUGGCAGAUCUGAUACAGAUUAGUCUGCAAUCAUGCUUUGUAAAAGAAAAAUGCUUUAAAAUUAAAUUGCAGAAAUUAAAUGCUUUAAAAUUAAAUUGCUGAAAUUUAAAUUACAUAAAGUAAAUUGCAGAAAUUAAAUUGCUUUAAUUUAAAUGACAGAAACAUAAAUCAUACAUGUUUGCUUUAUUGCUUUGAAUGUGAUACAAUUUCUCAUAUCUGAAAGAAAAGAAAGAUUGAAAGACGGGAAGAUUUCAAGACAAGAACCUCCCUUAAUAUCCUGAUCAUUUACAGGACGGGAAAGGUUUCCUGGAUGUCUUGAAUUCUCUAAGAGAGAGAGAGAGAGAGAGAGAGAGAGAGAGAGAGAGAGAAGGAAAAAAAAUGAAAAGAAGAGAAAACUAGAUCUGAAAAUUCUGAGGAGUCUUAGUCUUCCUCUAGAAUAUAUACACUGACUUUGAACUGUAGCGAGACUUUAGCUUUAAACUGUAGCGGGAGCGGGGAUGCUUGAAACAGUGAUCUUUGGGGCAUACAAUGUUUUUUAUUUUUACAAACUUUAAAAUAAAUCCGGAUUAAGAGACAUGUGCGCUCUCACUUGUGUCCAGGGGACCAUCCGAGGGUAUAAAAGUACGAACAAAAUACAAAAUAGGUAUUUAUCCUCUUUUUUUUUUUUAAAUAAACAAUAAUUAUUUACAAUGCUUUAUAGGAGAGAAAAUUCCGAAACAGUCGUCUUCAUUUUCAUCUCCAAGGGAAAUGAAUGGCUCUUGAUCUUCAUCUUCGUCAUCAUCUUCAGAGGAGUCUGCCACUGAUGACUUUGACCGAGAGGUGAUGAGUUGUUCCAUAACUUUGAAAUACUAUUCUUCUGUUUUUGCACUGGCUAGUAAGGAUUGGGCUUUGAAUUUUUGAGAGAAGAAGGUGCUUUGGGCUUUGGUUAGCUCUUUACUUGGGCCUAAGAAGCCUUUUGUUGUAAGCCAUGAUCGAACAGUGGUUUCGGUUAAUUUAGAUUUUUCAUCAAACUUUGACCACCAUUUGACUUUGAAUGUUCUUUGUAAGACCAGAUGGUUAUCUUGAGUAUGAUAAUGGAAAUUCCACAUCCAAACCCAAGGAAGGAAGAAAUUUGUACAGAAACAGAGAAAAUGAGGGAACCUUUUCUCAGUCUCAGAAGGAAUAUAAUGGGCUUUAAAGAGGCUCAAAUAAUUUUUGGCAUUUUGGGUAAGAAUGUCAGGACUUGGGCCAAAAUAGUUCCACCAAUUUUGAAACCAAUUUGGAAGGCUUUGUACGGUUAUUUUUUAAUUAAAGAAAAAUAACCAUGAAUGGGAUUUCUUUGGGUUUUGUAUGAAAAAUGUGUUAUACCAGGCUUGUUGGUAAUCCCAAUAGGAAUAGACCAUACAAUGAGGUAGACGCAUUUGAAAAUUUGGAGGGAAACGUUUGUAGUUGUGGAGAAGGUCACCCCACUGGUUAGGGCUCAAGACUUUUAAGAUAGUGGCCGUGGAGUAGGCCGGCUCAGAAUGAGAUUCAUUGAGAAAGAAAUGUUUAAAUUUGACUGACUCAGUAGCUUCUAAAAUGCUUUGAUAGUAAGACUGGGGUUUUGUUAAAUCCCAUGGUUUGAAAAACUAGCCUUUAGGAAAAAUCUUUGAAAUUGCUUGAAAUGGAUCAGAAUGAUAAAAUCCAUCUUCAAUAGUUAAAACAUUUUGAUGGAAGGUUUUAUCAUACCAAUCAGAAGUUUUCUUUGAAGGUGUUGGCUGGGAAAGUACAAUUUAAGAGGAUGAACUUUGUCCAGAGACAACAAUAUUUUGAUAAGAGGGUUUUGAAAUUUCUUUAGAGAUGAGUUUUUCUUUUUCAAUUUCUUCUUUAGGAGAAAUUUGGCUUUGAGAAAGGCCCUGAAGGGCGAGCAUAAGCUCAGGUGACUUUGUAAUGGAACUCAUCCACUGUUUUACUUGGUCAUCAGUGGUAGUGGCUUUAUAAUGGGCUUCAUGCUCUUCAACCAUUUCGAUCCAGGAUUUAAUGGGCAUGGCCGAAGAAAGCAAUUUUUCUUUAGAAGGAGUUGGUUGGGGUUCUUUAGAGGUUGCUUGAGAUUCAGUGUCUUUAAGGACAACUUUACCUUUAUCCUUCCUCUUUGGCGGCAUUAUCUGUUUUGAAGAAAUUCUCUAGUUAGAAAAUCAGGAACAUAAUUUUUAUCUCCUUUAAUAAAUUCAAUAUCAAAAUAAAAAAACUUAAAAUGGCUUGCCAUCGUGCAAAAAUUUGUUUGGAUGCAAUAUUUUGAACAUCUUUUUCCAAAACAUGUUUUGCAGCUUUGCAAUCAAUUCUAAGUAGAAAUUUUUGAUUUAAUAAAUCACUUUGGAAUUUAGAGAUACAUAAAACAAUUGAUAAAAUUUCUUUUUUAAUGGUAGAAUAAUUCUUUUGACAAUCGUUCCAAUGUGCAGAAACAUAUUGUACUAUCUGUUCUUUACCAUUUUCUUUUUGCUUUAAUAUGCCUCCAUAACCUAAAUCUGAUGCAUCAGUUUCAACAAUUUUAGGCAGUGUAGGAUUAGCAAGAAAUAAACAUGGAAUGCUUUUUACUAUGGUCUUUAUAUGCUGAACAAUUUUUGUAUGCUCGUCAGACCAUGCAACAGGGGUUUUCUUUAACCUAUUAUGCAAUGGUUUGGCAAUCCUAUUUAUGUUGGGACAGAAAUCAAGAACAUAAUUGAGACUGCCCAAAAAUCUUUGUAACUGAGUCUUAUCAAGGAUUUUAUCAGGAAACUUGUCUGUAAAGGCAAGGGACCUUUCAAUAGGAGUAAUGGUUCCUUUAAAAAUAUAAUGACCUAGGAACCUGAUUCUAGUUUGGAAUAAUGAAAUCUUUGAACUAGAAAGGGCUAGACCAGCUUUCUUUGUGGCAUAAUAGAAAGUCUUUAAGUGUUUGAAAUGUUGAUCAAUUGAUUGAGAAAAAAUCAACACAUCGUCUAUAUAGACAAUGCAAAACUCAGAAUAGGAGUUGUAUAUGUCAUUAAUUAUUCUUUGAAAUUCUGAGGGUGCAUUCUUUAAGCCAAAUGGCAUUACAGUCCACUCAUACUGUCCAAAUGGAACAGUAAAAGCAGUCUUAUAACGAUCAUUUGGGUGAAUUUGAAUUUGCCAAAAUCCAGACUUCAUGUCAAAUUUUGAAAAAAUAAGGGCAGAACACAGUUUUUUGAGUAAAUCUUUUUUAUUAGGUAUAGGAUACCUAAUCCAUCUCAAUGCUUUAUUUAAAGGUUUGUAAUUUAUUACAAGUCUUGGUGUUCCUCUUUCAAUUUCGGAAUUUUUAUUUACGUAAAAAGCAGCACAAGACCAUGGUGAUCUGGAUUUCACAAUGAGUCCUUUGUCUUCUAAAUCAUUUAUUUCUUUUUUACAAUGUUGUUCCAAUUCCAUAUUCAUUUGGAUUGGACGAGCUUUAGUGGGUAUUUAUUUUUCAUUAAAAGAAUUGUCAUAGGGCAAAUCUACCAAAUGUUGUUUUCUUUCCCAAAAAGCAGAUGGUAAAUCAGCACAUAUUUCUUUUUCGAUGAGAUUUUUAAAAUUAGAGAUUUUUCUUUGUAUAAAGUCAUUUUGUAUUUGUCUUUCAAUUCUUUGUAAACUUAAAUCCUUUUUUAAACAAAACAAGUCAUUUUGUUUAGAUUUAAGAACGGCAUUGAUAUGAUUUUGAUAAACUGAGCAAGCUUUAACAAUGUUUAGAUUUCUUGUUUUUGGUUUUUCAAUAAAAGGGAAAAUAAGCUUUUUGGAUUUUGCUUUAAAAGAUAUACUAUCGUAAUUGACAGUAUAUGGGGUAAUCAAAUUUAUAAAUGGGGUUCCUAAAAUGACAGCAUGGUGUAUGUCAUUUGUAAGGAUAAAAGAAGUUCUGAAUUCAAAAUCAUUAUUAUGAAUAGAAGCUUCGACUUUAGAGUUGACUUUAAGUUUUGAAUUAUUGGCGGCAGAAAGUCUUUCUUUAGUUUUCUCAUGAAAUCUUUUAGGGACAAUAUCUUCUCUUAUGCAAUUUAAAUCAGCACCAGUGUCAAAAAGGGCAAUGGCGUCUAUUGCAAAAUCAUUUGAAAAGAUUAAGGUGACUUUAAUCAAAUAUUUUCUGGUGGUGAUUUGUUUUAAAACAAACAGAAAAUCAUUUGGCACAGAUUCAAUGUUGUCAAGUCUUUGUUCUUCAUUAUCACCAUCAUUAGAUUCUUUAUCUGAAUUGUCCUGUAAUUAUUUUUGUAAGAGAAGUUGGAUAGUUUCAGAAUCAUUUCUUUGCUUUUCUUUUAACUCUUUUAUCUCGAGUUUAAUAUCUUUGAUUUCUUUUUGAAGAUCUUGGAUAUUAGGUGUUGUUUUCUUUAUUUUCUUUUUGUCUAAAAUUUGGGUGAGGUCAUAAGAACUUUUUUUAACAAUUGAAAUUUUGGAAGUUUCUGCUUUAUUAGAAUCCAGGGUCUUUAAAAGCUUAUCAAGAUAUUCUUUUUGAAGAUUCGGGUCAGAAAUGUGUUUAACAAGUUCAAGAAAAAUUUCUUGGUCUUUUGUCAAAACAUUGAUUUUCUUUAAAUAAGAAUCUGACUCAGAAUUACUACUGCUAUAUGCAGAAGUAUCUGAAUCAAUAAGCUCAUCAACUUGGAGGCAGUCACUGUCUCCCGACAUGGAAGACUCAGAGUCAGAAGACUCUACAAGAAGAGAGGCAACUUUAGAGAGGAUCUCUUCAUCGAGUCCUAACUCGUGAAGUUUUCGGUUCAUUCUGCAAUACUUUGCAGUAUGGCCUUUUAUGCCACACUUAUGGCAAAUGGCUUCUUUGUAAUUGAAAGGGGCUUUGUGUUUAUGUUUAAAUUCAUUUUUCUUAGAGAAAUUGGGCUUCUUAUGAGGCCUCGAGGGUUUCUUAUAAGAAGAUUCUCUAAAAUUUUGGAAUGGUUUUCUAUGACUCUUGGAUCUGUAAUGUCUUCUGUGAGGUUUAGAAGAACACUCACCAUUACAUCCUUUGGAGGUAGAAGUUUUAAAGGGGUCAUAGUUGAAUUGCUUACAGAAACUGCCUAAUUCUUGCUUAGAUUUCCUAAGCUCCCAUUUAAGUCGUUUCUGUAGUUUCAAAUCUUGACAGAUCUUUAAACCUUCUUUGUUAAUAAAGCUAACAAGUUCACCGUAGAUGAGCUCAUCAUAAGGGAUACGAUUAUCGUAUAUGGCUUUAAUGGAAUUCCUAACCUUUUCUCCUAAAAGGGUAGGUAGACCAGCAAGGAAUUUCUCUUUCCAAGUUAUAUGAUUUGCAUCAUCUCUGAGAAAGAGUCUGGUAAAGAAAGUAGUUUUGUAACUCUGGAACUCACUAAGUGUUCUACAUCUUAAAUUAUGUAGUAACUCAGCGUUUUUAUCUCUAAGGUGAGAGGGAUCUCCUAUGAAAUGGAGGGAGAUGGUGAGGAUUAAAGUGGCAACCGCAUCUUGAAUUAGAUUAUUAAACUCAUCAAGAAUAGGUAUUUUAUCCUCAUCGAUUUGUAUGGAAUUUAGAAUAUCUAAUUGUUGCUGUUGAGUGAGAAGAUGAUCCCACCAACCUUUAAGUUGACCUGUAAAGCCAGCAAUAAGGAUUUCUGCAAUAGCUUUGUCAGAAGUUCCCGAUUGGGUUUUAUACGCAUUAGCUGCCAUGGUCAUCUGCUGCAACAAUCCUAGGAUGUUGUACUCAGACAUUCCAUCUAAACUCCACUCAUAGACAGAGGAUGCAUUGUAUCGAGAUUGAUUUAAUGCACUAGGCCUGUUGUCUAUGGUCAAAUCAGGUGGAGACUUAACAUUAGGAAUGGCUAAUUCCCAAUGGAUUUUGUUGGCUUUAGGAAUAGGAUCUUCUUUAAAGGCUUCUAUAUCAGAAGAGGCAAUAGACGUUUGGUCAGACAUUUGGUCAUGUUCUAAUACUCCAAUCUUGCUAGAUUGAGGAGUAUCAGGAGCUAUUUGAACUUUGCUAGAUGAGGAAGAAGCAACUUCUAUCCUAUCUAGUUGUUCUCUAAUGGCUUUAGUAAAAUCUGAUUUUGACUCAUGAACAAGCUUUUGACUAGUUUUCGAAACUUGAAAAGGUUUGAAAAUAGGUUCUUUAAGCUUCUUGUCAGAAUCCGAUUUUGAUGGAAUAUGAGUAGAAGAAACAGCUAUGGUUGACUUUUGGAAUUGGUUUUCUAUCAUACUCAACUGUUUUCCAAUGGUAUUUAAGUUAGUAUUACAGAAAUUAUUCUGUUGGAUAAUACUACUUAAAUUCGCAUCAGAAUCAUUAGGUUUAGGAAUUUUGUAAGGAGAGGCUCUAAUCUGGACAGGAGGUUCACCGUGAUCUACAGUUAGACUUCGAAGAGGUGGGUGUUCAGAUUCUAUAGUUCUAUCACUAUCAGUAAGUUUCCAUUCAGGAAUUUUCUUUCUAAUAGUAAUAGGGCUUGACUCUUUAAAGGGAUAAGAAAUGUUGUUCUCAGAAGAAUAUAUUUCAAACCAAUCAAAAAACAAUAUAUGAAUUUGAUGCAAAUUCACAAAUUCAUAAUAGAUUUGUUGGAUUUCUUUUCUUUGAUUUAAAAAGUGUUUAAAAAACCAAAGUCUUUUUUCUUUAUUAGUUUCUGAAUAAAAAUCAUUAUGAAGAAGAUUUUUAUCAAGCUCAAAAUUUUUUUCAAUUACAUUUAUGACAUUUUCCGUGACUGCAGAAAAAGUAGGAGAGGUUGGAGGAGAAUGUUCCUUCUCUUCCUGUCUUUGUUCAUGUUGACUACUAGUGUAAAUAGGGUGAGGAACACUAGUGGUAUAGUCAACAGAUCGUAUAGAAGUGCUAGGUAUAUCUGAAGUAGAAAACCUAGGUUGACUUUGAAAUGAGAGAUUUAUAAUAGAAUGGAUUUUUGUAAAUUUUCUUUCCAAUGAUGGAAUACUUGAGCACGACUCUUUAUCGGAAAAUCUGAUUGAAACAGAUCUUCUAAAUGAUAGUUUGACUUUUCCAUCUGAAUACUGAGUCACAUUUUGUAACUCUGUAUUUGGCUCAAGUUGUUUUGGAAUUGCUGGUGGAGCGGCUCCUUCAAGAAUCCAUUCCUCUGGAAGAUGGACAUCUUUCCAUUGGAUUGGUUUUGGAAUGACAGUGUUGGCUCUAGAUAGAUCAGUCUGCAAGAGAAGAGUUUCAUCUCUUUUCGACUGGAAUUUAUGUUGUGUGCUGAAUGCAGUGAUCAUUGCUUUAUAAGAGAUUUUAAAAAUCAAAGCAACUGGGAUGGAUCCCUCAAUCAUAUUGUAAUUAUGAGUCUUGAUUUGUAAAAUCAUGCUUUUUAAAAUAUUUUUAUCUUUAAGAGAAAUUGUUAUGUUUGGAUAACAGUCAAAUGAAAUUGGACCUUUACAAAGACUGGAUUCGAUGCUACUUAGCAAAGAAUCAUUAAAAGAGAUGAAUCGCCCAUCUCUUAGGACAACAAGGAUAGAAGUAUCCAAGCCUUCUUUGGUUAAGGGUUUUAUUCCGACUUGAAUUAGGCCGAUGUGAAUAUAAUUGAAAUUCUUUUCUUUUAAUUUCUUUAAAUAAUGCUCAGAAAACAAGUGAAUUAUUUCAAAUGGAUUUAAAAGAGUUAUGUCACGUUCUUCAGUCUUUAUAAUAUAAUCAUUUUUUAAGAAAUCAAGCUUUUUUGUUCUGUAAAUCUUUUCUUUCGAAAUUUUUGGAAGUUCUCAACAAUCAAUUGCUUUAUCAAAGUUCUCAAUAAAGAAUUCUUCUGAACUCACAACAUGCUUUGAAUCACUAGUCUUCCCGGAAGAAGAGCUAGAAAAGGAAGAUGCUCUACAGUGUAUAAGUUCCAUGAAAAAAAAACCUAUGGUCUAUUUAUGGUUUUGAAAGAAUGGCUACAGGUAUGGUUUUACAGCCCUAUGCGGAAAACUUAUCCUAAGACGGGACUUACUACCAGUAAAGAAUUCACCACACAACAAAACUUCAAAAUAAAACACAAGUCUUUAAACACAAGAUUUAUAAACUGAAUUACACUAUCCUCCCCUUGGCUCUGAUACAAGAAGGAAAUAAUUGAUAUUGUAUCAGAGCCAGCCAGGGUUCGAGCCGCGGGGGAGGAAUGGGCUUAAUAUAUAUCCCAGUCACUGUUACUGGGGCCCGCACCCAUGUGGUGACUCUACCAACACCCAUGUGGGUGAUGUGGCAUUAACGUGAAGGCGUUACCUGGUGAUGGGCGGAUUGCCUACUUAAGUAUAAAGUAGCGCCCCUCCUAACAGCUUAAGCUUUUGGGUACGAUUGGUAAGCGCCUUAAGAUGGUAUGCACCCUAGACUUUUUAGGGUGCAUACACAAUACCUCACAAUUGUGAGGUAUGGAUUCUAACCACUAGGCUAAAGCCUAAUGGCUUGCAGAGCAUCCUGUUUUAAACGUUGGAUCUAAUAGUGCAGUUUGUUCAAAACAAACAUAUCAUCCAAACUACAUAAGGAAACAUAACAAAGAGAUGGACAAAGAACUUAAAAACGGGAGAUAAGACGAUAACCGUCUUCAGGUUCAAAAUCAAAGACACGCGAACGUAGUAUAUGUACGCAAAGAAAGACAGAAAACCGAACAUGGGCUCCUGAGCUGCUCCUCACAAUCCCCAUAAAAGCACCAAGUUGAUAGCAACCAAAUCAGUGAGGUAAAAAUAGAAAAAAAAUGAGCCGUCCACAUGUUUUGGUAAUGCCAGCUCCAGCACAAGGCCAUGUAAUUCCUUUACUGGAGUUUUCACAGUGUCUGGCGAAACAUGGCUUCCGAGUCACAUUUGUUAACGCGGAUUAC
rnacentral:lncRNA from 1 species